rnacentral:rRNA from 1 species
UACCAGCACCCCGAGUGGUCGGGACGAUUAUUGGGCCUAAAGCAUCCGUAGCCGGUUUUACAAGUCCUCCGUUAAAUCCAACUGCUUAACAGAUAGGCCGCGGAGGAUACUAUAAGACUAGGAGGCAGGAGAGGCAAGCGGUACUCAGUGGGUAGGGGUAAAAUCCGUUGAUCCAUUGAAGACCACCAGUGGCGAAGGCGGCUUGCCAGAAUGCGCUCGACGGUGAGGGAUGAAAGCUGGGGGAGCAAACCGG